ensembl:lncRNA
GUGAUGUUUCACGCCCAAGAAAUAUGGACAGAGGAGAAUGGGUAAUUAAUCAAAGUAUUAAUCAGUUAAUCAUUUUUUGUUAAAAUGAACAUUCUCACAGUUUACAAAUAAUCCAGUUACUAUCUUGCAGUCAUUAAUGAUUUAUCCCUAUCUCCAUUCUUUUCUACUCUUAUUAAACAAGUUGCCUCCAAACAAUAAUGAAGCCUACAGUCUGAUCAACUAUGUCCCUGUUGAUGACACCCCUCAUGAAUCUGAUUCAUUCUUACUGGCAGAAUCUGAUCAGCUGAAUAGACGGGAUUCUCAAACUGAGAAUGUAAGUGAGAUGUCUACUUUCUCAUUAAUUAAUAUAUAUACUGAACAGGCACUAAAAAUGCAAAGAAUCUUUGCUCUUGUUUUUUCUAGUCUGCCACAUACCAUGUGUACGCCACCAUCCCUGAGGAGCCAGACGAUAAACGUUCUGUGAAGACAGAAAUGGCAUACAGCACUCUACAGCCACACUGAAACAAUUAAAAAUCACUGUAUUUGCAAAGAAAAUAAAAUGGUCAUCAGAAGACUAAAUGGCCAUUAUGAACUCAAACCCUGAAGCUAUGGUCUGGCAUGUAGUAAAUCUUUUUUUGGGAGGGUAUUACUUGGAUAACAUGUUGGAUAACAUUUCUACAUUUCUACUCUCAAAAUGUAAUCCAGAGAGUAGUAUUAAACCUGGCUUUACAUUUUGUGGACUGCAUACCCAGUUUUCUGGUUUUAAGUUCAGAGCUUUGUAUUAUUAGUCCUUCAACUGAACCACACCUUAUAAAGACAGCGAAGAAAGUGAGCAAGGGUUAAAAAAAAGUGUGAAUGUUAUUCAGGCAAUAUUUGUGUUACACACCUACCUGUUCAUCCUCUUUUUUUCUUUUUUUGGCUGUUCUAUUUAUGGGUUGUCUCUCCUCUAGGUGUCCUCCUUCACUACAUCUAUGAACUUCCUCUAAAGUCUUACUCUUUUCUUCCUGCUCAGCAGGUCCAUAUUCAAUAGUCUAUGUUCAGUAAGUUAAGUUGUCCCACUGAUAUACUCAUUUUUAAUUCUGUCAAUCCCUUAUUCCCAAUGAAAAUCUUAGUAUCUUCAGCUCUGCCUCCAUCUCCAAACCAUACAUCAGAGCAAGCCCUAAUAGCACCUUUUAACCCUUCCCUUUCACUUCUGCAUCCUUCUGUCACAAUUCACUCCUGACACUCAUGUCACUCAUCUCCAUCACUCAUUGCCCUUCCUGACCCAAAAUUUUCACUCUUCCUAGGACCUGGACUAAGAGUACACUGACUUGAGCCCACCAUGCCUGGAUUAUUGUGUACAUACCUGUUAAGACCCACAAACAGAAAAAAAGAAAAGAAAAACCCUAAAUCCUUAAAUACAUGUUUUCACAUGUUUAUGUAAAAUAUAAAGAGCCAAUGAAAUCUCAGUUGACACUGCAGAAUUUUCUUUUUCUUUUGAAGUUCUGUUGACAGAACUUCAAAGCAUUCUUGAAAAUACCACCAGGUGGUGCCAAAAUAUUGAAAUAAAAAUGUGUUGUUACUUAGGUACUUUCUUUUAAUUAAACUGACUUUAGACUGAGUCAGAAACAUAUAAAUAUAUUCCAAUUCGCUGACUGUAUGAAGAAAUGGAAAGAACUUCUUUGUUUCACCCAAGUCAAGAUUGUUAUAAUUUAAUAAAUGAUUUCUAUGAUUUAUAGAAAACAUUGCCAUCCAAAGAUUAAACAAUGGGCCAACAACAACUUAUUACUACGUAUAGUCCUUUUGUUAAUGACAAUCUCUGAGCCCCAAAGCAGAUUUGUUCAUUUGAUGUAAAUUAAAAGAAAGUAGGUCAAUUUAAGAUUUUUUUUGUUACUACUAUUGUCUUAACCUUCUUUUUGUAAUGUAUAAUCUCUGGAUUCUUUAGGUUACUUUUUUCCACUGCUAAUUCUGCUUCGUCUUUGAAUGUAAAUGUUAUAUUUGCAAACUAUUUUAUGUUUUUAUUUAGUCCUGUGGUGGAGCUAUAUAUGGAUAUUGCAAUCCAUUGGAAUCUAUGAAAUGAGUAAUUAGAUUGUAUGAUCACAUUUAUUAAUGGAAAUAAAGAAAGAAGUUAAAAACAUGGUUACACAGCUUUUUACAAAACUGCUAAUAAUAAAACUAAAAGUAACCCAUUAAGAAUAAAAGAUACAUUAAUUACAGCAGACAGAAUUCAGUUUUAGUCUAACUGUAAUUGCCCUAACAUGAAAAUCAGACUAAGUAAAAUAAUAAUAAUCUGUAAUUCUCCAUUAUUACUAACGCAGUAUGUAAUAGCCUUACAAUAGGAGAAUGGGGUGAGUUCUGCCAGUUUUUACUUAAAGUGACAGUCAUGCUUUCAACUAAAAUAUGUAAAUAUAUUUCAUAAUGUUGUGCAUCCCUGGGAACAACCACUUUGGAUGUGAAAUAUAGUAUUUAAGAAAUAUAGCUUUCUGAAAAAUAGUGGUCUUGUGUCACAUUUUGCCCCUGGUGCGGGUUAAGCUGUGCCUUUCAAGCGAAUACCUUGGGGUACAUUGUGCCAUUUAUUAUUAAAGUAAAACACUAUAUUUUGAUCUCAGAAACUGUAAUUCUAUACAAAAGCUAGAGACAUUCAACACACACACUUCUUCACUGCUCUGUCCAUGUCCUCUAAAGGAGUGGAAGCCCUGCCUGUCAACUCCAGUCUAUUUUUAUUUUCAGUCUGGAAUUAAGAAUGUCACAGUGAUAAACUGUAAUAACACAAUCUACAGUCAACUGGCACAACUCACCCCAAACCCACCAUUCUGAACAAAAAAAAAAAAAAAAAAAAAGCAUAAUCUAGCAGUUUUGAGUAUAGACAUACUGUAGCUUACCAAAGCACUUUCAAACUUGUCUAUAACUGUUUGGACAAAACAAUUGUCAGGGCUCUGUGUGGCGGAGAUGAAGAUCCAAAUGCAGGACUCGGAAAACAGAAUGCAACUCAAAACCUCAGCUUUAUUGCUGGCAUGAAAACAAAACAUGAAAUGAACACUGAAUACUGAGACCAAAAACACACAGGCAUAAUCUGAGGGUACGACACGACAGAGAACACAGGAAAAUACAGGGCUUAUAUACACAGGGCGGUAAUCAGGGAAUGGGCAACAGGAGGGAGACACAGCUGGGAGAAAUUAGACUAACGAGACAGGGGAGCAGUAAAACUGAACACACUCACAUGAGACACAGACCUUCACAAUAAAACAGGAAACGAGAAACCACUAAACAAAGACGCAGACUCGACACUGAGAGGCAGACAGAAUAUAACACAAAACAGAGAAGACAGUGACUAAAACUAAAGGCCAGACCACCAAAUAAAGUAAAGAGAACAAAACCAAGAAUAACCCUUAAUACAAAAUCAACCCAGCACAACUCAAAAACCCAAGCAAAUCAUAAUCCAGAGAAAUAUCAAACAUAAGAACUAAUCUCUUAACAAGAAUAACUGAAACAUAGAUUAUCAUAAUAAUCAAUAAAGCACCAGAGAAACAAAAAACAAUCCAUAAUGCAAAAAUAAACCAAAACAUAAGAAACUCAAAAUGCUGGGUUAAAAUGACCCAGAACCGUGACAACAAUAAAACAACCUUGAUCAUAGAAAUUUUACUUUGAAAGACUUAAACAGCUUUUGAACUAAAAUGUGCUUAACUGUCAUGCAAAGAGACUGUCUUUGCAGGAUGAGUAAAACAGAUGACUCUUCAAAAAUGUGUGGUCAUAUGAUCAAAUUCUUCUAUGGCUCCCUAGAAAUAGGGGGUGGCAAAAUUUACCCGCUGGAACAAAUCUAUGGAGGACCACAAGAGCCACGCGCAUCGAAAUAAAAAAUUCUGUGCUUAAUUAAUGAAUUGUAG